AAGUUUAGGUUAACACUAAACCAAGGACCUUCAAAGCCCUAAACAGAGCACUACACCUCUAACUUYU
rnacentral:tRNA from 1 species